UACGAAGGGGGCUAGCGUUGCUCGGAAUCACUGGGCGUAAAGCGCACGUAGGCGGAUCUUUUAAGUCAGGGGUGAAAUCCCAAGGCUCAACCUUGGAACUGCCUUUGAUACUGGGGAUCUCGAGUCCGGAAGAGGUGAGUGGAACUGCGAGUGUAGAGGUGAAAUUCGUAGAUAUUCGCAAGAACACCAGUGGCGAAGGCGGCUCACUGGUCCGGUACUGACGCUGAGGUGCGAAAGCGUGGGGAGCAAACAGGG
rnacentral:rRNA from 1 species